rnacentral:rRNA from 1 species
GAUGAACGCUGGCGGCGUGCCUAAUACAUGCAAGUCGAGCGAACAGAUGAGGAGCUUGCUCCUCUGACGUUAGCGGCGGACGGGUGAGCAACACGUGGAUAACCUACCUAUAAGACUGGGAUAACUACGGGAAACCGGAGCUAAUACCGGAUAAUAUAUUGAACCGCAUGGUUCAAUAGUGAAAGACGGUUUUGCUGUCACUUAUAGAUGGAUCCGCGCUGCAUUAGCUAGUUGGUAAGGUAACGGCUUACCAAGGCAACGAUGCGUAGCCGACCUGAGAGGGUGAUCGGCCACACUGGAACUGAGACGCGGUCCAGACUCCUACGGGAGGCAGCAGUAGGGAAUCUUCCGCAAUGGGCGAAAGCCUGACGGAGCAACGCCGCGUGAGUGAUGAAGGUCUUCGGAUCGUAAAACUCUGUUAUUAGGGAAGAACAAAUGUGUAAGUAACUAUGCACGUCUUGACGGUACCUAAUCAGAAAGCCACGGCUAACUACGUG